rnacentral:rRNA from 1 species
UACGGGGGGAGCAAACGUUGUUCGGAAUCACUGGGCGUAAAGGGCGCGUAGGCGGCGUGACAAGUCACUUGUGAAAUCUCCGGGCUUAACUCGGAACGGUCAAGUGAUACUGUCGGACUAGAGUACAGAAGGGGCAACUGGAAUUCUCGGUGUAGCGGUGAAAUGCGUAGAUAUCGAGAGGAACACCUGCGGCGAAGGCGGGUUGCUGGGCUGAUACUGACGCUGAGGCGCGAAAGCCAGGGGAGCGAACGGG